rnacentral:misc_RNA from 1 species
GUAAACUCAAGCUCUGCUUGGUGUUGGGUGGUUGUCUCCCCUGGGAGACUCGCCUCAAAACAAUUGGCAGCCGGCAUAUUGGUAUCGGAGCGCAGCACAAGUCGCGCUUCUGUCCAUAUUUGUUGGCAUCCAGCAAGACCAUUUUUCAC